AGAGUGAACAUCCUUGAGAGCGCCACAGCUACCGUUCAACCGUUUGGCCCCGUUAAGAAGAUCCAUCAGCACCUCUGCGCGUAAGCUAUAAUCUUUUCGUAUAUGUACUGUUUUAUGAAUUUCUUGAGUUCUUAGUACUAGCUUCUGAAUACUUCCUUCUGUACGUUUUAUCAUCAGAUUCCAUUUUUAUGGAGAUGACAUGACUCGCCAAGUAGAAUCCCACCACUACUGCGCGCACCAGAACGAGGAAAUGCGACAAUGUCUUAUAUACAACAAUUCUGAGCCGGACGCUCAUCUUAUUGGGGUGGAGUACAUCAUAUCUGAGGGCCUCUUUAUGACUCUGCCGGACGAGGAGAAGCCGUUGUGGCAUACCCAUGAGUUUGAGGUGAAGAGUGGGAUUUUAUUCAUGCCUGGAGUUCCUGGUCCGAUACAGAGGCAGGAUCAUGAGAAAGUUUGCAAGACUUACGGCAAAAGCAUCCACUUCUGG
rnacentral:lncRNA from 1 species